CUCAUAUGUCAUCAACAAAGAAUUAUCCCCUUCGAACAAGACUUCAUCCACAUGCCAAGCUCCUCCACAUCCAUGAUUGUAUAUAUAAUUCCACCCACUCUAACCAUGUAUGCAUACUCAUCCCGCAAAUGUAGGUUAAUCAACCUUCGUCAAUGAUUCUUCUCUUCGAAAUGUCCCGGAAGAGAAAAAAAUGUCUUCUUGACCUGCCUUUUCUCAAAAUAAUUUGGAAUGUACUUCAUGGAAUUAGUACGAACUACAAUACAUUUCUAUACUGGCUUGGAUUAGAAGCCCUCAAAGUUACAAUCUUUUCCUUCGCAUACUCGGUCACUUUAUCUCUCAUUUCCAUCCCAAUCAUAACGGAUUCGGGGAACAUAGUUAAAAGACUAAUAAGAAGCCUACCAAAUCCACAGCCAACGUCUACAGAUUCGAUCCUUUUUGAACCAUCAAAUUUAUAAGGCAAAGGAAAGAGUUGGGAGUAAUGGAUCGAAUAAUCAACUUGACUAGUGAAAUUGGAACGGGAAAAUUGGAAUCGCCAAAAUGUUGCUGUUAGCUUGUGCUCGAUAAAAUUGUUUACGUGGUAGCCCAGUUGUCUUGGUCUGAGUAGGAUUUGCAUUAGAUUCAUGCUCAAGAAUAUUCCCCCUUUUCAAUUCCCAUAGCAAAUUGCACCAAAAAUGGAAAUCACGACUGAG
rnacentral:lncRNA from 1 species